rnacentral:rRNA from 1 species
GACGAACGCUGGCGGCGUGCCUAAUACAUGCAAGUAGAACGCUGAAGGAGGAGCUUGCUUCUCCGGAUGAGUUGCGAACGGGUGAGUAACGCGUAGGUAACCUGCCUGGUAGCGGGGGAUAACUAUUGGAAACGAUAGCUAAUACCGCAUAAGAGUAGAUGUUGCAUGACAUUUGCUUAAAAGGUGCAAUUGCAUCACUACCAGAUGGACCUGCGUUGUAUUAGCUAGUUGGUGAGGUAACGGCUCACCAAGGCGACGAUACAUAGCCGACCUGAGAGGGUGGUCGGCCACACUGGGACUGGGACACGGCCCAGACUCCUACGGGAGGCAGCAGUAGGGAAUCUUCGGCAAUGGACGGAAGUCUGACCGAGCAACGCCGCGUGAGUGAAGAAGGUUUUCGGAUCGUAAAGCUCUGUUGUAAGAGAAGAACGAGUGUGAGAGUGGAAAGUUCACACUGUGACGGUAUCUUACCAGAAAGGGACGGCUAACUACGUG